ACGGGAGCCUCGGCUCCUUGUGAGAAAAGGUGGCUCUGUACACAAGCUAUCGCCCCAGGUAUGAGCCCGGUCCAUCAGCUAGUUGGCGGGGUAAUGGCCACAAGGCUACGACGGGUAGCUGGUCUGAGAGGACGAUCAGCACACUGGUAACUGAGACAACGGUCCAGACUCCUACGGGAGGCAGCCAGUGGGGAAUCUUGCGCAAUGGGCGUAAAGCCUGACGCAGUAACGCCGCGUGUGUGAUGAAGGUCUUCGGAUCGUAAAGCACUGUCGCGAGGGACGAAUAAGGCUUCGGCUAAUACCCGGAGACGAUGACGGUACCUCGAGAGGAAGCACCGGUUAACUCUGUGCCAAGCAGCCGCGGUUAUACAGCAAGGGUUGCUAAAGNCAGUUUGGGUCCGGGAAACUUCAUUGGGGGCGGUUANAAGNCGGCGGUUGCUUAAGAGCAGGNGAUCCCAAUCAAAAGGCUUAGGGGCUGGUGAAAAAGAGCCCACAUCCGGGAAUUUANACCCAGGACGGAAUAGCUUNGAGAGCCCCUAGAAAAUACUAUAGUUGGCAGCCUCCGCAGUUACCAGGNGACAAAGGNGUUGGAGCCGAAAA
rnacentral:rRNA from 1 species